CUCUCAGUGACCAGUCAG
rnacentral:piRNA from 1 species